rnacentral:tRNA from 1 species
GGGGACAUAGCAUAACCAGGCAGUGCGGUUGGCUCCAGACCAACUGAUCUGGGUUCAAAUCCCAGUGUCCCCA